rnacentral:rRNA from 1 species
ACCUGCGGAAGGAUCAUUACCGAUCAUUCAAAAAGAGACGCCAGUCUUCUUUUUUACACCGCGAACCGUUCGAAGGAUCGGGGGUCGCCCCGUCGAGGGCGUCAAACGAUGGGAGCGUCACACGACUCCCACGGCCCCCGACGUUCCAUUUUUUUCAAACAAACAAACAAACCUAAGUCACAGAGAAAAUCCAAAAACAAAAGUUCAUAACUUUUAACGGUGGAUCUCUUGGCUCGUGCAUCGAUGAAGAACGCAGCCAGGUGCGAUAAGUAGUGUGAAUUGCAGAAUUCAGUGAAUCAUCGAAUCUUUGAACGCAAAUGGCGCUCUUGGGUUUUCCCAGGAGCACGUCUGUCUGAGUGUCGGUUUCCAAAGAACAGCGCAACGCGUCUUCCGAGGCGCCUGCGGUCUUGAGGCGUCGCGGCCCCCCACACACAAAGGCGGGCGGCCGCGUCCCUCGAAGUGCAGCACGACCGAAGCCAGCGACUCGGGUCGCCGCUUUCGGGGAGGCCAAAAACAACCACUUUGCCCUUCCUCGAGGCGGCCCGGGAACGCGCGGCGUCGAGUCGCGGUCGGCGGGGCGGCGAGCCGAGAGGCUCUCCGUCUCCCUCCAUCCAAUCUUGACCUCAGAUCAGGCGAGGCUACCCGCUGAAUUUAAGCAUAUUAAUAAGCGGAGGAAAAGAAACUAACAAGGAUUCC